rfam:Lentisphaerae bacterium RIFOXYC12_FTLL_60_16 rifoxyc3_full_scaffold_1869, whole genome shotgun sequence.
AGAGCCGAAUGCGGGAAAUCCGCCUGUUCGGUUCGGAGGGAGGGGAGGAGUUCAAACCUCUUUCCCUACCCCUAU